GCCAGAUUCGAAUCUAUCCUUCUUCUUUCAAUCUGUGCGCCCAAAAGUACGCUGACCGCAAUUGCCAAAACUAUGCAUCGUGGUAUAGCCGCUCUAUAUAACGAAUGACCCUUUUAUAUCUUUAUUAUCAUAUUGCUGAUUUUGCAUUGCUUUAUAUGAAUAUAAAACUUGAUCAAAAUGGAAAGACAUGAUGCGAGAUGUGGAUGCGAUGCGAAGUAAAGCAAAUAAAAUUUUGUUGUAAUGAUUAGCUCAGUACGAUGAGAAGAUGUCAGAAACAAUCCCAAAUAAGACACCUGCGUUCGUGGAAAAAGCUAUCACCACUAGGUGAAAAAAGGUUAUUGUGCUAAAACAGCUCCAAAAUGAAAACUACGAAGUGCACGAUAUCUACAACCUGGGAAUGGGUAGAAAGUACGGUCAAUAUUCCAUUCUAUUUUUUCCAGACCGUUUUCCACCGUCUACUUCGUCAGUUCGCCCUCGUCUGUACCGUCAGCUAGUGUUGGCUCGGUGCAGAUUAUAAAUGUUUAUAGAAUUUUAAUAAAAAAAUGGAAUAUUUUGUUGAAUAAAAUAAAGAUAAAAAAGAAAUAGCAAGAGAGAAAUAAGAAGCAAAGGAGGCGAAGGAGAAUUGAUUCAAUAAAAAAAAAGGUACAGAGGAAGUGCAUCAGACCACCGACUGUUUCGUCUACAAUCCGGCCUGUUGCCUCGACGCCUAUCCGGCUUCUGAAUGCUGCGAUGCCGAAAUUAAUAAAUGCAGUUGCUGAUUUACUAUGUAUAUAACAAGGUCGAAAUAAUUAUAGUCAUAAAAUCAAAAUCAAAAUCAACAAAAUAAAAUGUAAAAACAUUUUGUUUAGCUUUAUAACAUUGUUAUUUAAAAAAAAAAGCGCCGUAAGUUGCGCUUAUCGCACAAAAAUACCGAUAUUUUUUCGCAAGCCUGGAGGGAUUUUUCAUCGCAACACUGUCCAUUUCAUUACGUUUUAUUUCUGACCUUCUUUGCUCAAACCUUAUUUUAGGCACAAUAAAAUUAAAUUAAGCAUUUAAAGCUAGCUAAUCUUCUAGAAAAUUGAUUCAUCUAUCGGAUAAAAUUAUGUUUUGAGGACUGAAGGUCUUAGCUAAUCUUAAGUAGAAUUAAGUCAGCAUGAUUCGUGAUUAAAUAUUUUUAUAGCACUUUAAGUGAAAAAUAUCGUGGUCUUUUUUUAUAUAAAGAUGAAGGACCUGCAAGAGUAAAUAUUAUUUUUUGUCUGGUUCAAGUUAUUAUCAGUUUAAAUAAAGGGGGUUUAAGUGGGCUAAGUACGUUUUUUAUCAGACGGUCAGACUUCUGCUCUCUUCUGAAACGAAAAAAUGAGUCGUUAUUUUUUAAUGGGCCUUAAAAACGGGUAUGGACACCAAACAAAAACAGCCAAGGCAAAUUGCAAGUUUCGUACGAACCUUACCUCGGCGUUGUUGACAAACAAUAUACCUUGAAGUCAAAAGGGUGACUUUAUCCUUUUAUCCUCUUUUUUCUCGUUUUUAUAAGCAAAAAUUCCAUGUAGGUAACAAAAGGGGUUGAUGAAUUAUUCGUCUAAUAAUUUUAAUGUGUCAUAUUGAUAAAUUGUUCACUCUUUCUUGCGACGAAAAAUUGUAAUUUGUCGUAAUUUAAAAUGGGCUAUAAAAAAGGGUAAGGACAAGGGGCAAAAACAGCCAAGACAAAUGUCGAGGUUCGCGUGUGAUGAAAAUAUUAAGCAAAAGUGGAUUUCAGCUUGCAUGCGGUUGCAUUUUCAGGGCCGUUUUGCCUGCUGUUCAUACCCUUUUUUUUCUUCCAUUAUGUGUAUAUAUAUACUGAAUAUAUACUGAAAAUAUACUGAAUGCGAGUACGCGUUGACAAUAAAUCGAAAACUAUAGAGGUGCUACCGUUAAAAUCGUUAAAAGUCAAACCCAAACACACAGACAACGCGAAGACCACGAAGCAAGUGGAUAGUGGAGUAGGCAAAAGUGAAAGAGAAAAUAGAGAGAACGCGAAACGUAACGCAACAAGGCAAUAAACAGUGAGUAAAGCAACCGCUGAAACGACGUGCGACGCGUCGAAAUAAAAGUGUGUAUUAAAAAACCUCAAUAGCACCCACAUUACGACGAGAAAACUCAAACGACAAAACCAUAGUUGAAUUGAGUGAGAAUAAUAUAUAUAUAUAUAUAUAUAGAGAGAGAGAGAGUAAAUACACCGCUACAAUGUCGGAAGAAGUAGAUCGCAACGAUCCCGAGCUGAAAUACCUUUCGGUGGAACGGAACCAAUACAAUGAUCCGGCCACACAGGCGGAAUGGACACAGAAGCGCCUGGUCUGGGUGCCCCACGAGAAUCAAGGUAUGCAUUGUUGCUUGCAUUUUUCCGCAACAUGGAACGCGAUUAUUGCUUUCCGCCAAUGAAAAUUAUGGCAGGAAACGGCUGCGACAGAAUGUCAGGAUGCGUCGUGUUAAUAUUCCCCAAUAAUUGGUAAUAUUCACCCUAAGUCGAUGUCCAAAUAUAGUAAUUUAAGAACAUAAUUUAAAAGUAUGGAAUGGGACUCAUUGUUGUCAACCGGUUAUUACCGAUUCAAAUAAAUACUGAAAUAUACGGUAUUAUUUUCAAAAUAUACCGACGUAUUUUUGAUAUUCUGGCGAAUAUUACUAGCUAAAUAGAACCCUCAGGCCUGCCCACAUAAUUUUAUCCGACUAAUGAAUCAAUUUUCUACUCGACUGGUUUAUUUUAAAUACUUGCUUUUAUUUGAUUUUGCCCAAAGGUCAAACAAAUAAAACGUAAGAGAUUAUCUAUAUAAUGUGUUUGUACAAAAAUUGUGUGUACACACUUGCAACCAUGGUCGAUCUAUCGGCCUAGCCCGCCAGAUUCGAAUCUAUCCUUCUUCGUUCUAAUCUGUGCGCCCAAAAGUACGCUGACCGCAAUUGCCAAAACUAUGCAUCGUGGUAUAGCCGCUCUAUAUAACGAAUGACCCUUUUAUAUCUUUAUUAUCAUAUUGCUGAUUUUGCAUUGCUUUAUAUGAAUAUAAAACUUGAUCAAAAUGGAAAGACAUGAUGCGAGAUGUGGAUGCGAUGCGAAGUAAAGCAACUAAAAUUUUGUUGUAAUGAUUAGCUCAGUACGAUGAGAAGGUGGGUCGGCGGAACGUGUAUAUACGUUUCACAAGAAAAGUCACACGUGCAAAAAGAUUGACACACAACUCUAUUUAACUUUUGACAGAUGUCAGAAACAAUCCCAAAUAAGACACCUGCGUUCGUGGAAAAAGCUAUCACCACUAGGUGAAAAAAGGUUAUUGUGCUAAAACAGCUCCAAAAUGAAAACUACGAAGUGCACGAUAUCUACAACCUGGGAAUGGGUAGAAAGUACGGUCAAUAUUCCAUUCUAUUUUUUCCAGACCGUUUUCCACCGUCUACUUCGUCAGUUCGCCCUCGUCUGUACCGUCAGCUAGUGUUGGCUCGGUGCAGAUUAUAAAUGUUUAUAGAAUUUUAAUAAAAAAAUGGAAUAUUUUGUUGAAUAAAAUAAAGAUAAAAAAGAAAUAGCAAGAGAGAAAUAAGAAGCAAAGGAGGCGAAGGAGAAUUGAUUCAAUAAAAAAAAAGGUACAGAGGAAGUGCACCAGACCACCGACUGUUUCGUCUACAAUCCGGCCUGUUGCCUCGACGCCUAUCCGGCUUCUGAAUGCUGCGAUGCCGAAAUUAAUAAAUGCAGUUGCUGAUUUACUAUGUAUAUAACAAGGUCGAAAUAAUUAUAGUCAUAAAAUCAAAAUCAACAGAAAUAAAAUGUAAAAACAUUUUGUUUAGCUUUAUAACAUUGUUAUUUAAAAAAAAAGCGCCGAUAAGUUGCGCUUAUCGCACAAAAAUACCGAUAUUUUUUCGCAAGCCUGGAGGGAUUUUUCAUCGCAACACUGUCCAUUUCAUUACGUUUUAUUUCUGACCUUCUUUGCUCAAACCUUAUUUUAGGCACAAUAAAAUUAAAUUAAGCAUUUAAAGCUAGCUAAUCUUCUAGAAAAUUGAUUCAUCUAUCGGAUAAAAUUAUGUUUUGAGGACUGAAGGUCUUAGCUAAUCUUAAGUCGAAUUAAGUCAGCAUGAUUCGUGAUUAAAUAUUUUUAUAGCACUUUAGGUGAAAAAUAUCGUGGUCUUUUUUUAUAUAAAGAUGAAGGACCUGCAAGAGUAAAUAUUAUUUUUUGUCUAGUUCAAGUUAUUAUCAGUUUAAAUAAAGGGGGUUUAAGUGGGCUAAGUACGUUUUUUAUCAGACGGUCAGACUUCUGCUCUCUUCUGAAACGAAAAAAUGAGUCGUUAUUUUUUAAUGGGCCUUAAAAACGGGUAUGGACAACAAACAAAAACAGCCAAGGCAAAUUGCAGGGUUCGUACGAACCUUACCUCGGCGUUGUUGACAAACAAUAUACCUUGAAGUCAAAAGGGUGACUUUAUCCUUUUAUCCUCUUUUUUCUCGUUUUUAUAAGCAAAAAUUCCAUGUAGGUAACAAAAGGGGUUGAUGAAUUAUUCGUCUAAUAAUUUUAAUGUGUCAUAUUGAUAAAUCGUUCACUCUUUCUUGCGACGAAAAAUUGAGUCGUAAUUUAAAAUGGGCUAUAAAAAAGGGUAAGGACAAGGGGCAAAAACAGCCAAGACAAAUGUCGAGGUUCGCGUGUGAUGAAAGUAUUAAGCAAAAGUGGAUUUCAGCUUGCAUGCGGUUGCAUUUUCAGGGCCGUUUUGCCUGCUGUUCAUACCCUUUUUUUUCUUCCAUUAUGUGUAUAUAUAUACUGAAUAUAUACUGAAAAUAUACUGAAUGCGAGUACGCGUUGACAAUAAAUCGAAAACUAUAGAGGUGCUACCGUUAAAAUCGUUAAAAGUCAAACCCAAACACACAGACAACGCGAAGACCACGAAGCAAGUGGAUAGUGGAGUAGGCAAAAGUGAAAGAGAAAAUAGAGAGAACGCGAAACGUAACGCAACAAGGCAAUAAACAGUGAGUAAAGCAACCGCUGAAACGACGUGCGACGCGUCGAAAUAAAAGUGUGUAUUAAAAAACCUCAAUAGCCCCCACAUUACGACGAGAAAACUCAAACGACAAAACCAUAGUUGAAUUGAGUGAGAAUAAUAUAUAUAUAUAUAUAGAGAGAGAGAGAGUAAAUACACCGCUACAAUGUCGGAAGAAGUAGAUCGCAACGAUCCCGAGCUGAAAUACCUUUCGGUGGAACG